GUGCUCGCUUUGGCAGCACAUAUACUAAAAUUGGAACGAUACAGAGAAGAUUAGCAUGGCCCCUGUGCAAGGAUGACAUGCAAAUUCGGGAAGCGUUCCAUAUUUUU
rnacentral:snRNA from 1 species